rnacentral:misc_RNA from 1 species
AGCAGCCGCGGUAAUUCCAGCUCCAAUAGCGUAUAUUAAAGUUGUUGCAGUUAAAAAGCUCGUAGUUGAAUUUCGGGAUUGGCGCAUCGGUCGUGCCUCACGGGGUAUGAACUGGUGCAGUCAAUUUCUCACCUUCUGGAGAACCGCGAUGUCCUUAAUUGGAUGCCGCGGGGAACCAGGACCUUUACUUUGAAAAAAUUAGAGUGUUUAAAGCAGGCAUUUUUGCUUGAAUACAUUAGCAUGGAAUAAUAAAAUAGAACGGCAUGGUUCUAUUUUGUUGGUUUCUAGGACCACCGUAAUGAUUAAUAGGGAUAGUUGGGGGCAUUAGUAUUCAAUUGUCAGAGGUGAAAUUCUUGGAUUUAUUGAAGACUAACUACUGCGAAAGCAUUUGCCAAGGAUGUUUUCAUUAAUCAAGAACGAAAGUUAGGGGAUCGAAGACGAUCAGAUACCGUCGUAGUCUUAACCAUAAACUNUGCCGACUAG